UGAAAAGUCCGAGUGAAAUGAAAUCUAUCAGUAGAAGCCCAAAUGUGAACGCCUCCAGAAAGGCUACAGUGAUGCAACUGGAAUGAAGACUCCAAAGGCCCUAAACCAGAGAUCCUGAAGCUUCUCAGCCAGUCCUCUUGUCUGGAAGGACCAUUUGCGAAGCUGCUAAUGCAAGUUGGCAAGAAAUUGUGAAGAGCCUUGCUUGCCAGAUUGAGGGUACCAACUAUCAACUUUUAAGCUAAUGAGUGGCACAUCCCAACCGGAUCAAAAUUCAUCUAAGGUAGGAAGACCAGGACACCUUCAUUUUCCAUGAAAGAUAGCACAUUUUGUAGCUGAGUCAUUUUAUCAAUCCAUUUCCUAUCUAUGGAAUUUUGGAGAUUCAAUAAUCUUCUUUCAUUUCAUAUUCUCUCUGUCCCUUUCAGUUCAAGUUGACAGUGUUUCUGCUGAUAUAAAACUAUCAAAAACUUUGUGGGUCUCCUGUGUACAUCACUUAAUUAGAGAAGAAGCUUUUCUAGAGGUAUAUCCUAGAUAAUCUCAUCUUUGUUUGGCUUCUGCUGAGCAACUGAGGGAAUCUAGAAGUUACAUAAUUAAUCUUUUCAAAGAGCCUUUUUGUAUGUGUGUGUGUGAAUGAAUACUCUGACCUUCUGAUCUUCCUGAUUUUAACAAAAGAUUUAGCAGUCACACCUCAGCUUUUCUUUUCCAGUGUACAGUUUCCUGACAGUGACUCUAUUAAUUUUAGCAUUUUUUGCAAUUUGGAUGAGCCAAAGAUUUCUCAAGUCAUGGAGUCACAGUUGCUUUUUGUUUAUCAGUCUUCCCUCAAUUUAUCUCUUUCCUCUCACAUUUUACUACCAGCAGCAAGAAGAAACCAGACUGCACCUUCAACACUUUGCUUGGAAAUCUUCUCAACUAUAUAUCUUAGUUAAUCAUUUAGAAAUUCUACUUUCCACAUACUUGCAGAACACAAUUCUCCAAACUUUCUGCCCCUAUAUAACAAGGAUUUCCUUUCCUCCAAGUUUCAGUAACAUGUUCCUCAUUUCCUUCUGAGCCCUCACCAACAGUGCCUUUAAUGUCCAUAAUUCUGCCAGCAGUCUGUUCAUGACAAUUUAGGUAUUCUCUAUGGUGAUGUAUGUUUUCUUUACUAUACUUUUCACUUUCUUCUGAGUCCUCAAUAGCAGAGUCAUUAACAUCCAUAUUUCUACUGUCUAUUCAAAACAGAUUAGUCUUCUCAAAAUUCACCCAACCUCUGCCCAUUGCCCAAUAACAAAGCCACUUUCAUAUUUUCAGGUAUUUGAUAUGUCAGACCCCCACUUACAGGUAGGUAUCAAAAUGUGUAUUAGUAUUCUAUGGCUGCUACCACUGUCUCUAAUGUGAAUUUUCUAUAAAAUAUGGUAUUAAUAAUAAUGUCCUACACAAUAUAAAAUCUCUUAUAUACAAUGUAUAUAAAAGCCAUAUUUGACCCUCUAAUCACUUGCAUUAUUAUAACAAGUCAAGAUAAUUAUGUUAUAUUUUAAUAUUCAAAACUCCAAUUAGCUCUCAUUCAGGCUAGACAGCACAGAACUAACAAAACUGUAAACUAUGAAUUAGGGUGAUCUCUUAGUAAUAGAUUUUAGUAAUAAAUACCCUGUAAAAACAUCUACAAAUAUUAGAAACAGAUCAAGUCCCCUAAGGAUUCCUUGACAAUUAUGAAUAGAACAUUGAUGAAAGAAACUGAAGACACAAAUAAAUAGAAAGAUAUCCCAUGUUUAUGGGUCAGAAGAAUGAAUAUUGUUAAAAUGCCCAUACUUCUCCAAGCCAUGCAUAGAUUCAAUUUAAUUCCUAUCAAAAUUCCAAUGGCAAUUUUCACAGAAAUAGAAAA